UACAGAGGUCCCGAGCGUUGUUCGGAUUCACUGGGCGUAAAGGGUGCGUAGGUGGUGAGGUAAGUCGGAUGUGAAAUCUCGGAGCUUAACUCCGAAAUGGCAUUGGAAACUGCCUUGCUUGAGGUUUGGAGGGGGGACUGGAAUUCUCGGUGUAGCAGUGAAAUGCAUAGAGAUCGAGAGGAACACCAGUGGCGAAGGCGAGUCCCUGGACAACACCUGACACUGAGGCACGAAAGCUAGGGGAGCAAACAGG
rnacentral:rRNA from 1 species